GGGCUUGACAUCCCACGAACCUCGCCGAAAGACGGGGGUGCCCGCAAGGGAGCGCGGAGACAGGUGGUGCAUGGCUGUCGUCAGCUCGUGUCGUGAGAUGUUGGGUUAAGUCCCGCAACGAGCGCAACCCUCACCCCUUGUUGCCAUCAGGUCAGGCUGGGCACUCUAGGGGAACUGCCCCGGUCAACGGGGAGGAAGGCGGGGAUGACGUCAAGUCAUCAUGCCCCUUACGUCCUGGGCUACACACGUGCUACAAUGGCCGGUACAAAGGGAUGCAAGACCGCGAGGUGGAGCUAAACCCAAAAAGCCGGUCUAAGUUCAGAUUGGAGUCUGCAACUCGACUCCAUGAAGGAGGAAUCGCUAGUAAUCGCGCAUCAGCACGGCGCGGUGAAUACGUUCCCGGGCCUUGUACACACCGCCCGUCACACCACGAAAGCCAGCUGUACUCGAAGUCGCUGAGAAUCG
rnacentral:rRNA from 1 species